rnacentral:tRNA from 1 species
GGAGGGGUCGCAUAGCCCGGUCUAGUGCGGUCGCCUGCUAAGUGACUGUAGGGGCUUUAAAACCUCUACCGCGGGUUCAAAUCCCGCCCCCUCCG